AUUGAACGCUGGCGGCAUGCUUUACACAUGCAAGUCGAACGGCAGCACGGGAGCUUGCUCCUGGUGGCGAGUGGCGAACGGGUGAGUAAUGCAUCGGAACGUACCCAGUAGUGGGAGAUAGCCCCGGCGAAAGCCGGAUUAAUACCGCAUAUUUCCUGAGGGAGAAAGCGGGGGGACCUUCGGGCCUCGCGCUACUGGAGCGGCUGAUGUCGGAUUAGCUAGUUGGUGAGGUAAAGGCUCACCAAGGCGACGAUCCGUAGCUGGUCUGAGAGGAUGAUCAGCCACACUGGGACUGAGACACGGCCCAGACUCCUACGGGAGGCAGCAGUGGGGAAUUUUGGACAAUGGGGGCAACCCUGAUCCAGCCAUGCCGCGUGAGUG
rnacentral:rRNA from 1 species